rfam:Zygosaccharomyces rouxii strain CBS732 chromosome G complete sequence.
GCCAUUCUAGUAUAGUGGUUAGUACAGCUCGUUGUGGCCGAGCAGACCCAGGUUCGAUUCCCGGGAAUGGCA